AUGAACGCUGGCGGCGUGCCUAAUACAUGCAAGUCGAGCGAACAGACGAGGAGCUUGCUCCUCUGACGUUAGCGGCGGACGGGUGAGUAACACGUGGAUAUCCUACCUAUAAGACUGGGAUAACUUCGGGAAACCGGAGCUAAUACCGGAUAAUAUAUUGAACCGCAUGGUUCAAUAGUGAAAGACGGUUUUGCUGUCACUUAUAGAUGGAUCCGCGCCGCAUUAGCUAGUUGGUAAGGUAACGGCUUACCAAGGCGACGAUGCGUAGCCGACCUGAGAGGGUGAUCGGCCACACUGGAACUGAGACACGGUCCAGACUCCUACGGGAGGCAGCAGUAGGGAAUCUUCCGCAAUGGGCGAAAGCCUGACGGAGCAACGCCGCGUGAGUGAUGAAGGUCUUCGGAUCGUAAAACUCUGUUAUUAGGGAAGAACAAAUGUGUAAGUAACUAUGCACGUCUUGACGGUACCUAAUCAGAAAGCCACGGCUAACUACGUG
rnacentral:rRNA from 1 species